rnacentral:rRNA from 1 species
CCUACGGGAGACAGCAGUGAGGAAUAUUGGUCAAUGGACGAGAGUCUGAACCAGCCAAGUAGCGUGAAGGAUGACUGCCCUAUGGGUUGUAAACUUCUUUUAUAUGGGAAUAAAAUGUUCCACGUGUGGGAUUUUGUAUGUACCAUAUGAAUAAGGAUCGGCUAACUCCGUGCCAGCAGCCGCGGUAAUACGGAGGAUCCGAGCGUUAUCCGGAUUUAUUGGGUUUAAAGGGAGCGUAGGUGGAUUGUUAAGUCAGUUGUGAAAGUUUGCGGCUCAACCGUAAAAUUGCAGUUGAAACUGGCAGUCUUGAGUACAGUAGAGGUGGGCGGAAUUCGUGGUGUAGCGGUGAAAUGCUUAGAUAUCACGAAGAACUCCGAUUGCGAAGGCAGUUCACUGGACUGCAACUGACACUGAGGCUCGAAAGUGUGGGUAUCAAACAGGAUUAGAUACUCGAGUAGUC